rnacentral:sRNA from 1 species
CCCGGCUGCUAUAGAGCCGGGUGAGAGAGCGAGCGCCCGUCGGCGGGUGUCGAGGGCGGGUUGCCUCGCGCUGACCCUUCCCGCCCUCCUUCUCGUCACACACCAGGUCCCCGCGGAAGCCGCGGUGUCGGCGCCAUGGCGGAGCUGACGGCUCUUGAGAGUCUCAUCGAGAUGGGUUUCCCCAGGGGACGCGCGGAGAAGGCUCUGGCCCUCACAGGGAACCAGGGCAUCGAGGCUGCGAUGGACUGGCUGAUGGAGCACGAAGACGACCCCGAUGUGGACGAGCCUUUAGAGACUCCCCUUGGACAUAUCCUGGGACGGGAGCCCACUUCCUCAGAGCAAGGCGGCCUUGAAGGAUCUGGUUCUGCUGCCGGAGAAGGCAAACCCGUUUUGAGUGAAGAGGAAAGACAGGAACAAACUAAGAGGAUGUUGGAGCUGGUGGCCCAGAAGCAGCGGGAGCGUGAAGAAAGAGAGGAACGGGAGGCAUUGGAACGGGAACGGCAGCGCAGGAGACAAGGGCAAGAGUUGUCAGCAGCACGACAGCGGCUACAGGAAGAUGAGAUGCGCCGGGCUGCUGAGGAGAGGCGGAGGGAAAAGGCCGAGGAGUUAGCAGCCAGGUCUGGGCAGGGGAAAUGAUGGAUAGCAGAUGAGAAAGAAAUCAAGAUUUGCUUUGUUGAUGUCUGACCUAAUUUCUUCUUGUCUACAUUUCAGACAAAGAGUUAGAGAAAAGAUCGAGAGG